AAGAAAUUAGUUAACAAAAUAACAUUGAGCUGUCAAAUCAAAAUUAUAUAUUUAUUAUAUAUUUCUUG
rnacentral:tRNA from 1 species